AACAUGGAUUAUGAAAACUUAGUAAAAUAUAUAACAAAUUCCACCCGACUUGUGAAUUUUUGAAAAUUUAAUUAGUGUUAGGUUUAUCUGAAGUAUUAUAGUGUUGGCGUAUGUAGCUGUUCGACUUGUUGCUUGUAUGUGGGCAGCUGGUUGCAUUGCAGCAGUCAGCAGCAGUCCUUGGCGUGUUGCGUAAACACCCACCUUGACUUGCAUUGCUUGCACCGAACAUGCCUGGCUGUGAAGAUGUGACCACGUGUUCUCGUCUACAACAUGACUACAAUAUGAUGCUGUAUUUUCGAGAAAAAUCAAACGAGUUUGACUAACUAACCCUUGUACAUGUUGAUAAUGAACCGGUCUAUGAAACACCGAUUUGGUCGGAGUAUAUUAGAAUGGACUGAAUGUGUUUAUAUUAAAUAAUAAUAAUAAUAAAACUAUUAAUUGAA